rnacentral:rRNA from 1 species
GUGCACGCUGGCGGUAGGCCUAACACAUGCAAGUCGAACGGCAGCACCGUAAGAGCUUGCUCUUACGGGUGGCGAGUGGCGGACGGGUGAGGAAUACCUCGGAAUCUACUUUUUCGUGGGGGAUAACGUAGGGAAACUUACGCUAAUACCGCAUACGACCUACGGGUGAAAGCAGGUGAUCUUCGGACCUUGCGCGAUUGAAUGAGCCGAUGUCGGAUUAGCUAGUUGGCGGGGUAAAGGCCCACCAAGGCGACGAUCCGUAGCUGGUCUGAGAGGAUGAUCAGCCACACUGGAACUGAGACACGGUCCAGACUCCUACGGGAGGCAGCAGUGGGGAAUAUUGGACAAUGGGCGCAAGCCUGAUCCAGCCAUACCGCGUGGGUGAAGAAGGCCUUCGGGUUGUAAAGCCCUUUUGUUGGGAAAGAAAAGCAGCAGGUUAAUACCCCGCUGUUCUGACGGUACCCAAAGAAUAAGCACCGGCUAACUUCGUG